rnacentral:rRNA from 1 species
CCCAGACUCCUACGGGAGGCAGCAGUGGGGGAUAUUGCACAAUGGGGGAAACCCUGAUGCAGCGACGCCGCGUGAGUGAAGAAGUAUUUCGGUAUGUAAAGCUCUAUCAGCAGGGAAGAAAAAAGACGGUACCUGACUAAGAAGCCCCGGCUAACUACGUGCCAGCAGCCGCGGUAAUACGUAGGGGGCAAGCGUUAUCCGGAUUUACUGGGUGUAAAGGGAGCGUAGACGGCAAUACAAGUCGGAAGUGAAAUACCCGGGCUCAACCUGGGAACUGCUUUGGAAACUGUAUGGCUGGAGUGCUGGAGAGGUAAGCGGAAUUCCUAGUGUAGCGGUGAAAUGCGUAGAUAUUAGGAGGAACACCAGUGGCGAAGGCGGCUUACUGGACAGUAACUGACGUUGAGGCUCGAAAGCGUGGGGAGCAAACAGGAUUAGAUACCCCCGUAGGA